rnacentral:rRNA from 1 species
UACGGGGGGGGCAAGCGUUGUCCGGAUUUACUGGGCGUAAAGAGCGUGUAGGCGGCCAGGUAGGUCGGCUGUGAAAACUCGAGGCUCAACCUCGAGCUGUCGGCCGAAACCAUCUGGCUAGAGUCCGGAAGAGGAGAAUGGAAUUCCCGGUGUAGCGGUGAAAUGCGCAGAUAUCGGGAAGAACACCCGUGGCGAAGGCGGUUCUCUGGGACGGUACUGACGCUGAGACGCGAAAGCGUGGGGAGCGAACAGG